rnacentral:rRNA from 1 species
UUGGAGGGCAAGUCUGGUGCCAGCAGCCGCGGUAAUUCCAGCUCCAAUAGCGUAUAUUAAAGUUGUUGCAGUUAAAAAGCUCGUAGUUGAAUUUCGGAGUUUGUCGGUUGGUCGGGCUUCACUGUUCGCACUGGCCUGAUGGAUUCCUACCUUCUGAAUAACCAGCAUGCUAUUAAUUUAGUGCGUUGGGGAAGCAGAGCUAUUACCUUGAAAAAAUUAGAGUGCUUAAAGCAGGCUUACGCUUGAAUAGAUUAGCAUGGAAUAAUAAAAUAGGACGGCAUGGUUCUAUUUUGUUGGUUUCUAGGAUCACCGUAAUGAUUAAUAGGGAUAGUUGGGGGCAUUAGUAUUCAAUUGUCAGAGGUGAAAUUCUUGGAUUUAUUGAAGACUAACUUCUGCGAAAGCAUUUGCCAAGGAUGUUUUCAUUAAUCAAGAACGAAAGUUAGGGGAUCGAAGACGAUCAGAUACCGUCGUAGUCUUAACCAUAAACUAUGCCGACUAGGGAUCGGACGAUGUUAAUUUUUUAAUGACUCGUUCGGCGCCUUACGGGAAAC